CAUCCUUGUCUGGUUCAAGAGCUAUCAGCCUCAUCUACCAUUCCUGUGAGGUAUAUGCUCUCUGAGGCUCAUCUUCUCAACAAGUUUUGGGGAAUCAACACACACAUACGUAGAAAAAGAGAGGCAAAUCGACGCGUUGAUCGAGCGAAAUUGAGCCAUGAACAGCCCCCGCACAGAACGGAGGCUGGAAUUGCCAGAACAAGACAAGAUCAAUCUUGAUAAGACCAUCAACACCAGCCAGAGAACGCUCAAGGAACGAAGGUUGGGGUUAUCGAAAUCAGACCAGAGCGCCAAAUUCAAGAAAUCUGCUCGAGCUCGGACGACAACCAUCGACGGCGGUAGUGGCGACUUUCUGGAAAUUGUCGAUGAAUUCACUGGGAUCCAUUCGGCCGGAGGAGGAGGAGAAAGCGAAAAAGGUCUCGGCUAUGGCAAUGAAAAUAAAGGCAGCCCUUGUGGAGCUGGAUUCUCACAGAUUACUUUCUUUCCAAAUCACUUGAAAUUGCCAAGACAGCUGCCUUCAUUUCUAAGAUACUGGGCUGGCAAUCAUUGAGAGGCCAAUGCAGCAGAGCUAGGAUCAGGCCGGGGGUGUUUCCAAAUUUGGUUACAAAUUCCCCUCGCGGUUAACCCUUCCGUUUUAUUUAUGUGGAACGGGGGCUCCGAUAACCACGGCCUUUAUUUAAGGUCCUUAGGCUGGACCAAUUUCUCUUUUGUUCCGGUGAUAUAUCUUAUCCUCCUCUGUGGUCGAAAUUCUUCAGCCACCACCACUUGAGUUAAAGUAGUUCCGGAAGGAAUUUCGUAGAUUACUACUGCAGGAACCUUUUUACUAUAGAAAGUCGGAUGAACAACUAUUAUAUAAGGUGAAAUUCCAAUUGCCACCUGAUGAUGGGUUCAGUUGGAGGAAGUAGAUCAGAAGGAAAUUCUUGGAGCCAAGUAUCCAAGGAACUAUAGGCGCACUCAUUGAAAUGUCCAAGGUUGCUUGGCUAGAAAGCGCGUGCAAAGAUCCGAUGACGACUCCCGUAAAUUCGUGGAGUUGACGAUGCGAUGAGUAGAUACAAAGAUUGGAAGAGGGAGCACAGGGAUAUCGAAGGGGCGCCACCGCAUCAUAUGGUAAUCAGAAUUUUGCAAUAUAAACUAGAGAGAGAGAGAGAGAGAGCCCACAGGUUCAGCCGCCAUUCAGUCAAAACCCACAGGCUACGUUUGGUAGUCAGGAUAAAAUUCAGGAUAGGAUAUUAUUUAUCUUAUCUUAUGUUUGGUGCUCACUCGGGGCAUGAUAAAGUCGGAUAUAAAGGGGAUAUAGACAUGAUAAAAUUAUCCCAUGUGAGAGGUGGGAUAAAGGUGGAUAGGAUUUCUA